UACGUAGGGUGCAAGCGUUAAUCGGAAUUACUGGGCGUAAAGCGUGCGCAGGCGGUUUUGUAAGUCUGACGUGAAAGCCCCGGGCUCAACCUGGGAAUUGCGUUGGAGACUGCAAGGCUUGAAUCUGGCAGAGGGGGGUAGAAUUCCACGUGUAGCAGUGAAAUGCAUAGAGAUGUGGAGGAACACCGAUGGCGAAGGCAGCCCCCUGGGUCAAGAUUGACGCUCAUGCACGAAAGCGUGGGGAGCAAACAGG
rnacentral:rRNA from 1 species